rnacentral:rRNA from 1 species
GAUCUCAAAUCAAGUAGGGAUACCCGCUGAACUUAAGCAUAUCAGUAAGCGGAGGAAAAGAAACUAACAAGGAUUCCUUUAGUAACGGCGAGUGAACCGGGAAAAGCUCAAAUUUAAAAUCUAGUACCUUUGGUGCUCGACUUGUAUUUGAUAGGGUCUCUCCUUUCAGGGAAGACUGUGACCAAAGUUCUCUGGAAAGGGACAACAAAGAGGGUGACAUUCCCGUUUGGGUUACAGUUGUGCAUCUCUGGUACAAAGGAGGCCUCAAGAGUCGGAUUGUUUGGGAAUGCAGUCCAAAAUGGGUGGUACAUUUCAUCUAAAGCUAAAUAUUGGCAAGAGACCGAUAGCGAACAAGUACCGUGAGGGAAAGAUGAAAAGAACUUUGAAAAGAGAGUUAAAUAGUACGUGAAAUUGUUAAAAGGGAAACGA